AGCAAGACAGCAGGUCUCCCUAAGAGAUGAAAACCUUCUUGCACGCUGUAAAGGUAACAUUAGAAGAUGUGGUAGUGAUGCUACGUGGCGAUGCCUCUCAUAAAGAAAUGCCUGCUUAUCUAUUAACAGAAAAGAGAGCAAUCUGGUGAAGGAGGAUGACAAGUCUUCGCAAAAUGAUCUCCAAUUCUGCCAGAGCACUCCAGCCUGCAGGAAAGAAACGCUGAUUUGAAUUCUGCCAUGGUGCCGUACAUCUGAAUAACAUUCUGGAGCGAUUGGCAUGGAGUCCGGAUGCUGGGGUUGGAUCCAGUCUCGCUGCCAGGAGGCAAUGUUGCAGAGAGGGGCUACAGCUGUGGUCUCUGAAGGGACCUGGCUACUCUAUCUACGUAUUCUUUCCCUGGGUCUCGCGGUGCUUGAAGAUGCUAAUUUGUUCAUGUUUUCCUCUGUUCAUUAAUGUAUUCUGUCCUUAAAAAUUCAGCAUUUUAAAGUAGUAAUGUAUAUUGUCUAUCUGAAAGAUUAAUCACAAGGAGGUGCUUAAGGUGGGAAGGCUUUUCCGGAGAGGUUCCACAUGUUGUCAGCUAGUCACUUUGAAUGGCAGUUUCCAGUUAGGUCCCUUAGAUUUUGGAAGUGACAUUUAGUCUGACAUGUGCCAGCCAUGCAAUCUCCCUAGCCCUGCAAAGUGCAAAUAUUAACAUAAAUGCAUAUUAAGAUACCGUGUGUUAGCUCUUUAACGGAAAUAAAGAGUGAGUGUUCCAGCAAAGGCAAGCAAAUAGCAUUGAUUUACACUGGCUUGAGGAUUUGGCCUGUUAUCACUUCUUUAUGCACUUUCUAGAGGACCUGCAAACUAGAUAAAGGCUUUUUCUGGAACGUGGCAAGUAAUUGUAUGUUUAGGCUGAUGAGGAGUAAUGUUGGGGAAUCUUUCUCAGAAAUUGUUCUGCUGCUUCCUCAGCUACUUGUUUAGUUCAAUCCUCCAUCCUAGGCCAGCCCCUCAGGUGCAUCUUCCUUCUCAGCCAUCUUGUCUGAGUGGAUUUUGAAGAACAGCUCAGAUGAUCCAGGAUAUCUGUGUGCCUGACCAGUCCGUCUUUCAAAGGAGAUCGCAGACCGGCUGCAUCCAUGCUGUGCUGAGCAGAGCCCCCGGCAGCAGCCCUGCACCUCGCUCCCAGCCUGCCUGUAUGGAAAAAGCAAAAGGAACAUCACCACCCUUCAUUUAACUUUGCAGCUCCAUGGUGGAGGAGACAAAUUAGAAUAUCAUCUAUUUUUAAGACAAGCAAAACGAGCACCUCUCUGAGGGGGCUGGCAUGCAGAUGCUACAUUCCAGAUCGACGGCGUCCCUAAAAUCCUCCAGCCCAUGCCAGAAACAGAGAUGUCACAUCUGAGAGGUCUCAUGCAGGAAUUCUAUCUUAGGAUUAAUAAGCACUUGCAUCAUUUCUGUCCUAUGUGCUAUAUAAAGGAGCAUCUACAUCAUCAGCAAAUAUUUUUGUUGUGCUCAUACUGCGCACAAUGUCAAACGUAAAGGCCCUUUCCCCAGCCACAGCCAUUCUUUGCUGGCUUCUUCCAUGAAGGAUCCUUGACCUCUUCUUCCCUUUGGAAAACAUUGCCUAUGCUCCUGCUGCCUCGCAUUAUUCCUUCUCAUGGAAAUAAAUGACUGGUGACGCCAAGGGAGGUCUCCGUGCUGAUCCUAUAAGCACAUGGGAUUCCAUACAGGCAACAUGCCGUGCGCAGAGGAAGCUUGCAGGGACUCUGGUGAGGAGGACACGUGCUUCUGCGGCUUUGGUCUGAACCAAGGGACUACCACACACGCUCAGUGCAAGUGUGUCGCUCGCAGACGCAGCUCAAUUCCACGGCGAAAUAAAUACUUGAAAGAAAGAAAGAAGCAGGCAAUCCCCUGAGAAUUACUACCGU